AUUUAAAGAAAGCGUAAUAGCUCACUGGUCGAGUCGGCCUGCGCGGAAGAUGUAACGGGGCUAAACCAUGCACCGAAGCUGCGGCAGCGACGCUGAUGCGUUGUUGGGUAGGGGAGCGUUCUGUAAGCCUGUGAAGGUGUGCUGUGAGGCAUGCUGGAGGUAUCAGAAGUGCGAAUGCUGACAUAAGUAACGAUAAAGCGGGUGAAAAGCCCGCUCGCCGGAAGACCAAGGGUUCCUGUCCAACGUUAAUCGGGGCAGGGUGAGUCGACCCCUAAGGCGAGGCCGAAAGGCGUAGUCGAUGGGAAACAGGUUAAUAUUCCUGUACUUGGUGUUACUGCGAAGGGGGGACGGAGAAGGCUAUGUUGGCCGGGCGACGGUUGUCCCGGUUUAAGCGUGUAGGCUGGUUUUCCAGGCAAAUCCGGAAAAUCAAGGCUGAGGCGUGAUGACGAGGCACUACGGUGCUGAAGCAACAAAUGCCCUGCUUCCAGGAAAAGCCUCUAAGCAUCAGGUAACAUCAAAUCGUACCCCAAACCGACACAGGUGGUCAGGUAGAGAAUACCAAGGCGCUUGAGAGAACUCGGGUGAAGGAACUAGGCAAAAUGGUGCCGUAACUUCGGGAGAAGGCACGCUGAUAUGUAGGUGAAGUCCCUCGCGGAUGGAGCUGAAAUCAGUCGAAGAUACCAGCUGGCUGCAACUGUUUAUUAAAAACACAGCACUGUGCAAACACGAAAGUGGACGUAUACGGUGUGACGCCUGCCCGGUGCCGGAAGGUUAAUUGAUGGGGUCAGCGCAAGCGAAGCUCUUGAUCGAAGCCCCGGUAAACGGCGGCCGUAACUAUAACGGUCCUAAGGUAGCGAAAUUCCUUGUCGGGUAAGUUCCGACCUGCACGAAUGGCGUAAUGAUGGCCAGGCUGUCUCCACCCGAGACUCAGUGAAAUUGAACUCGCUGUGAAGAUGCAGUGUACCCGCGGCAAGACGGAAAGACCCCGUGAACCUUUACUAUAGCUUGACACUGAACAUUGAGCCUUGAUGUGUAGGAUAGGUGGGAGGCUUAGAAGUGUGGACGCCAGUCUGCAUGGAGCCGACCUUGAAAUACCACCCUUUAAUGUUUGAUGUUCUAACGUUGACCCGUAAUCCGGGUUGCGGACAGUGUCUGGUGGGUAGUUUGACUGGGGCGGUCUCCUCCUAAAGAGUAACGGAGGAGCACGAAGGUUGGCUAAUCCUGGUCGGACAUCAGGAGGUUAGUGCAAUGGCAUAAGCCAGCUUGACUGCGAGCGUGACGGCGCGAGCAGGUGCGAAAGCAGGUCAUAGUGAUCCGGUGGUUCUGAAUGGAAGGGCCAUCGCUCAACGGAUAAAAGGUACUCCGGGGAUAACAGGCUGAUACCGCCCAAGAGUUCAUAUCGACGGCGGUGUUUGGCACCUCGAUGUCGGCUCAUCACAUCCUGGGGCUGAAGUAGGUCCCAAGGGUAUGGCUGUUCGCCAUUUAAAGUGGUACGCGAGCUGGGUUUAGAACGUCGUGAGACAGUUCGGUCCCUAUCUGCCGUGGGCGCUGGAGAACUGAGGGGGGCUGCUCCUAGUACGAGAGGACCGGAGUGGACGCAUCACUGGUGUUCGGGUUGUCAUGCCAAUGGCACUGCCCGGUAGCUAAAUGCGGAAGAGAUAAGUGCUGAAAGCAUCUAAGCACGAAACUUGCC
rnacentral:rRNA from 1 species